UAGAUUGAAGCCCUCUGGUUUGGGUUUUUGGUUGUUAACUAAAUUUUUACGGGAUCGAGGCCCGUCAAUCUAG
rnacentral:tRNA from 1 species